GACGAACGCUGGCGGCGUGCCUAAUACAUGCAAGUCGAGCGAGCGGAACUAACAGAUUUACUUCGGUAAUGACGUUAGGAAAGCGAGCGGCGGAUGGGUGAGUAACACGUGGGGAACCUGCCCCAUAGUCUGGGAUACCACUUGGAAACAGGUGCUAAUACCGGAUAAGAAAGCAGAUCGCAUGAUCAGCUUUUAAAAGGCGGCGUAAGCUGUCGCUAUGGGAUGGCCCCGCGGUGCAUUAGCUAGUUGGUAAGGUAAAGGCUUACCAAGGCGAUGAUGCAUAGCCGAGUUGAGAGACUGAUCGGCCACAUUGGGACUGAGACACGGCCCAAACUCCUACGGGAGGCAGCAGUAGGGAAUCUUCCACAAUGGACGCAAGUCUGAUGGAGCAACGCCGCGUGAGUGAAGAAGGUUUUCGGAUCGUAAAGCUCUGUUGUUGGUGAAGAAGGAUAGAGGUAGUAACUGGCCUUUAUUUGACGGUAAUCAACCAGAAAGUCACGGCUAACUACGUGCCAGCAGCCGCGGUAAUACGUAGGUGGCAAGCGUUGUCCGGAUUUAUUGGGCGUAAAGCGAGCGCAGGCGGAAGAAUAAGUCUGAUGUGAAAGCCCUCGGCUUAACCGAGGAACUGCAUCGGAAACUGUUUUUCUUGAGUGCAGAAGAGGAGAGUGGAACUCCAUGUGUAGCGGUGGAAUGCGUAGAUAUAUGGAAGAACACCAGUGGCGAAGGCGGCUCUCUGGUCUGCAACUGACGCUGAGGCUCGAAAGCAUGGGUAGCGAACAGGAUUAGAUACCCUGGUAGUCCAUGCCGUAAACGAUGAGUGCUAAGUGUUGGGAGGUUUCCGCCUCUCAGUGCUGCAGCUAACGCAUUAAGCACUCCGCCUGGGAAGUACGACCGCAAGGUUGAAACUCAAAGGAAUUGACGGGGGCCCGCACAAGCGGUGGAGCAUGUGGUUUAAUUCGAAGCAACGCGAAGAACCUUACCAGGUCUUGACAUCUAGUGCCAUUUGUAGAGAUACAAAGUUCCCUUCGGGGACGCUAAGACAGGUGGUGCAUGGCUGUCGUCAGCUCGUGUCGUGAGAUGUUGGGUUAAGUCCCGCAACGAGCGCAACCCUUGUUAUUAGUUGCCAGCAUUAAGUUGGGCACUCUAAUGAGACUGCCGGUGACAAACCGGAGGAAGGUGGGGAUGACGUCAAGUCAUCAUGCCCCUUAUGACCUGGGCUACACACGUGCUACAAUGGGCAGUACAACGAGAAGCGAGCCUGCGAAGGCAAGCGAAUCUCUGAAAGCUGUUCUCAGUUCGGACUGCAGUCUGCAACUCGACUGCACGAAGCUGGAAUCGCUAGUAAUCGCGGAUCAGCACGCCGCGGUGAAUACGUUCCCGGGCCUUGUACACACCGCCCGUCACACCAUGGGAGUCUGCAAUGCCCAAAGCCGGUGGCCUAACCUUCGGGAAGGAGCCGUCUAAGGCAGGGCAGAUGACUGGGGUG
rnacentral:rRNA from 1 species